GACGAACGCUGGCGGCGUGCUUAACACAUGCAAGUCGAACGGAAAGGCCCUGCUUGCGGGGUACUCGAGUGGCGAACGGGUGAGUAACACGUGGGUGAUCUGCCCUGCACUUCGGGAUAAGCUUGGGAAACUGGGUCUAAUACCGGAUAGGACCGCACUUUAGUGUGUGUGGUGGAAAGUUUUUUCGGUGUAGGAUGAGCUCGCGGCCUAUCAGCUUGUUGGUGGGGUAAUGGCCUACCAAGGCGGCGACGGGUAGCCGGCCUGAGAGGGUGUACGGCCACAUUGGGACUGAGAUACGGCCCAGACUCCUACGGGAGGCAGCAGUGGGGAAUAUUGCACAAUGGGCGCAAGCCUGAUGCAGCGACGCCGCGUGGGGGAUGAAGGCCUUCGGGUUGUAAACUCCUUUCGCUAGGGACGAAGCUUUUUGUGACGGUACCUAGAUAAGAAGCACCGGCUAACUACGUG
rnacentral:rRNA from 1 species